rnacentral:lncRNA from 10 species
UGCAUCAGGCCGAUUUUUGCUUAUAAUAUUUUAAAUCAAUUGGCUAAUUAUGGAAAGAUAGUUCCUUUUCAAAAUAAAGAUGUUUUUACAUAUAUAGUUUUUGCUAUAUUAUGUUUCUUGGUGAUAAAGUUAUGAAAUUAUUUUUUAAAACUCAGGAGCUUUUAAGAAGUAUUGUGGAAUGCUGGUGAAGAGUAGGAUCUACUUUGGAUUUUGCUUUACCCACUUUUUGCUACAGAUUUUAUUCCCACCAAUUUUUGACUAUAAAGGAAAAAAAUGGCUAUAUUUGUGUAGAUGGUAUGGUAUAAAGUUCUUUGAAUAAAUUAUCUGAUUUGAUCAUUACAAAAACUUAAUAGUAGGCAGUAUAUUCCCACUAGCUGAAGAUUGAACAGUUAUAUUAUCUACCCCUAAAUUGUGUGAUACUCACAAAACUAGACUAAACUGUGUUGUCAGUUCACAUCCAAUGUCCAGUGAGUUUGGAAUUCACUGUCUCUUUACAAGGAAUGAAGGCCCAUUCAGAUAUAAUACUACUUAUUUUCUUGGCUACAAAGUAAUGGAAACAGAAGAUGAACCAAGGACUCUCCAAAAUCAAAGUGUUACCCAUACAAUUGGUGAGUUUGCUUGGUGAAUAUCGACACGGUGACCACAACAAGGAGUAUUUAGCAAGGGGAUUUUGUUACUUAUAACAAGUAGGGAGAACCCUGGGGAAAGUUCCCAAAGCUGUGUCUCCCUGAGGUGGGGGUUGAGUCAGGUUUUAUAUGCAUAGGGUAAUGAGGUGUGAUCUGAUUGGAUCUUGCAAUGAGAUAAUGUCAGGAGGCAUGAUCUGAUUGGAUCUUGCCAUGAGGUGACACCAGGGCUUGAUCUGAUUUAAUCCAGAAUCCUGCCAUGCAGUCCAUGCAAUGCCUACCUCUUUUUUUUGUUUUGUUUUUGGAGGCAGGGUUCCACUCUGUCACCCAGGCUGGAGUGCAGUGGCACCAUUACUGAUCACUGCAGCCUCAGUCUCCCAGGCUCAAGUGAUCCUCUCCCCUCAGCCUCUUAAGUAUCUGGGAAUACAGGUACUCC